rnacentral:misc_RNA from 1 species
GCUAUUCUAAUCAAGCAUUACAAUGCCAAAAUUGAAAAAUACAAAUUUAAUUUAUUACCCAAAUUAAAAUGUCCAGUGACGCGAUUGAAGUGCAAGCAACAAAGGUUGUCAAACGAGAAGCUGAUCAAGCAAGUGGAAGCCAUGACCAGAUCAAUGUGGAGGACGAAGCAAGUGGAAGCCAUGACCAACCCAUUGAGGAGAACCAGAAGCUGAGCAUCGUAAUCCAUGGAAAACCAACUACCAGCAAGAUUUUGCAGGAGAGGUUGGACUCCCUGAACGAGGCAGCUCAAAAACCUGAAAAGUCGCGGAUACAGAAGGUUCCAUUCAUGCUGAGGGAGGACGAGGAAUUCAAGAAGCACUAUGAACCAAGGGUGGUUGCCAUCGGUCCUAUCCACCAUGGCUGUCCCAAUUUUGACUAUGCUGAGACGAUAAAGCAUAGACUAGCAGGACAUUUCAUGGAAGAACAGGGGAUAGAUGCAAAAGAUCUCUACAAGAAGAUUAUGGAGAAAUUGGAUAAAUUGAAAUUGUGCUAUGUGGAAGACGUGAUAAAGUGCUACAGUGAUGAUGAACUCGCCUGGAUGUUUCUUGUGGAUGGAUGUGCAAUGUUGAAUUUCAUCCAUCGUGUUGUGAAGGAUGACGAGAAGGUGAAGAAAUUGAAUAUCAAGAAAGACCAGGUGGCUUUUGCUCAACAGGAUCUGUUCUUGCUUGAGAAUCAACUUCCCUUCGAACUCCUCGAGCUAUUGAGGAACUCGGUCGUCCAGAAUGCAGAGAAGGAAGAAAUCGGAAAAUCAAUUAACAAAUUCAUUGGUGAGAGCAUUAUGACCACAGAACCUUCUUCAGUAACAAAAGAAUAUGGAAAGGAGCCUUCACCCUCCCAUCUUCUGGAGCUUCUGAGGGAAGAACUGAUCAACAGAUCCGCUAAUAUCACAGCCAAGAAUAUAAAACCAGAGAAUAGAAAUCGGGAACCGCACUCGUUUCGCAACGUGAAGGAGCUCAUCGCAUCAGGAAUCCGGUUGAAGCCAACUGGAGAACGUUCUUUGACAAUUUCUUUCGAACGAUCUUGCUUUGCAGGAACCUUAAAACUUCCUUCCCUGCUAGUAGACGAUUCAACAGCACCGAAGCUAAAGAACUUGAUAGCAUUGGAAAUGUGUCCAGAUUUUCUUAAAGAUUUUGAGGUCACCUCCUACAUAUGCUUUUUAGACUCGCUCAUCGAUCAUCCUGAAGAUGUCCAGGAGCUUAGAAAGGCGAAAAUUCUCACAAAUGUUCUUGGCAGUGAUAAAGAAGUCGCUAAACUCUUCAACAAGAUAGGCACAGACUUGGUUCCGAACCCUGAUUUAUAUGCCAACGUGAAAGCUGAUAUCGAAAAACACUAUAAGAGCCGAUGGAAAACCUAUACAGCUGAGGCCUAUCACACCUAUUUCAGUAGUCCCUGGACUUUCCUUGCUUUACUUGGUGCGUUGCUUGCACUUCUUUUCAGUGCUGUUCAAGCUUAUUUCUCGCUCCCUUCUGAAAAAUGUUAGCGAAAGGUGCUUCUAUGGAUCCUGGGAGUCAUGUCUCAUUAUUGCCUAAAUAACGACAUUUUCCGUCUUUUGUAUCUUUGGCUCGGAAGAAUGUUAAUUUGUCAAGAUUUUUUUUUAAUUAUUAUUAUUCAUUAUAUUGUUUGAUGUUUUAUAAUUGUGUAUUUUAAAUUACUUUGAUUUGAUUUUAAGUCUAUUUCACUGUUAAAUUAGAUUUUAAUAAUUUUUUAGUGAUGAUUAUU